GGGCCGUUAGCUCAAUUGGCAGAGCUGCUGACUUUUAAUCAGUAGGUUCCGGGUUCGAGCCCCGGGCGGCCUAC
rnacentral:tRNA from 1 species